CCUACGGGAGGCUGCAGUGGGGAAUAUUGCACAAUGGGGGAAACCCUGAUGCAGCGACGCCGCGUGAGUGAAGAAGUAUUUCGGUAUGUAAAGCUCUAUCAGCAGGGAAGAAAAUGACGGUACCUGAUUCAGAAGCCCCGGCUAACUACGUGCCAGCAGCCGCGGUAAUACGUAGGGGGCAAGCGUUAUCCGGAUUUACUGGGUGUAAAGGGAGCGUAGACGGCAGGACAAGUCUGGAGUGAAAUGCCGGGGCUUAACCCCGGAACGGCUUUGGAAACUGUGCAGCUAGAGUGCAGGAGAGGUAAGUGGAAUUCCUGGUGUAGCGGUGAAAUGCGUAGAUAUUAGGAGGAACACCAGUGGCGAAGGCGGCUUACUGGACUGUAACUGACGUUGAGGCACGAAAGCGUGGGGAGCAAACAGGAUUAGAUACCCCAGUAGUC
rnacentral:rRNA from 1 species